rnacentral:rRNA from 1 species
AGUGAACGCUGGCGGUAGGCCUAACACAUGCAAGUCGAACGGCAGCACAGUAAGAGCUUGCCCUUACGGGUGGCGAGUGGCGGACGGGUGAGGAAUACAUCGGAAUCUACUUUUUCGUGGGGGAUAACGUAGGGAAACUUACGCUACUACCGCAUACUACCUACGGGUGAAAGCAGGGGAUCUUCGGACCUUGCGCGAUUGAAUGAGCCGAUGUCGGAUUAGCUAGUUGGCGGGGUAAAGGCCCACCAAGGCGACGAUCCGUAGCUGGUCUGAGAGGAUGAUCAGCCACACUGGAACUGAGACACGGUCCAGACUCCUACGGGAGGCAGCAGUGGGGAAUAUUGGACAAAGGGCGCAAGCCUGAUCCAGCCAUACCGCGUGGGUGAAGAAGGCCUUCGGGUUGUAAAGCCCUUUUGUUGGGAAAGAAAAGCAGCAGGUUAAUACCCCGCUGUUCUGACGGUACCCAAAGAAUAAGCACCGGCUAACUUCGUG